GCUUUUCUCAACCUUGGUUGUAAAUAAUCAUGAAAUGUUUAUAACCAGGUUGAUAAUUGCAC
rnacentral:pre_miRNA from 1 species